UAGUAUAAUUUUGAUUUGAAAUUUAAUAAAUCUGGCGGUUUUUAAAUCUUUUUAGAGGAACCUGUAAUUUAAAUGAUAAUCCACGAUUUUUUUUACCUUUAUUUUCUUGUAUAUCUCUGUCGUUGAAUAUAGUGAAAACUUAUUUUCUUUUUUUUUAUUUAAUUUAUGUUAGGUCAAGGUGCAGUUAUAUUUAGGUUAUUAUGGGUUACUUUAAUUUUUGUUUGUGGAUUUUUUUUUUUGUUAAAUUUGAAUUUGGAUUUAAAAGUAAUAUUUUUUUUUAA
rnacentral:rRNA from 1 species